UCGCUCUCAAAUCAGGUGAGACUACCCGCUGAACUUAAGCAUAUCACUAAGCGGAGGAAAAGAAACUAACCAGGAUUCCCCCAGUAACGGCGAGUGAACAGGGAAGAGCUCAAGCCUAAAAUCCUUCGGGAAUUGUAGUCUAUAGAGAUGAGCUUGUACACCUCGGGUAGAAAUCCGUUCUUGGAACUGGGUGCCAGAGAGGGUUAGAGCCCCGUCUUUGACUCGGUCAGGUGUGCGUGAUAAGCUUAGCUCGGUGAGUCGGCUUGCUUGGGAAUGCAGGCCAAAGUGGGUGGUAAACUCCAUCUAAAGCUAAAUAUUGGCGAGAGACCGAUAGCGAACAAGUACUGUGAAGGAAAGAUGGAAAGAACUUUGAAAAGAGAGUGAAAAAGGGCUUGAAAUUGUUGAGAGGAGAAGUGAUUGGAGCCUAUCCUGCGUACUGGAUCCUGGGGUGGAAGCUUGCAACCAUCCUUACCAUGCAGUGGCGCUGGCCAGCAUCGGUUCUCUGUGGGGGACAAGGCUUUGAGGGUCUUCGGAGCUCUUAGCGCAUGACCUGCGGGGGACCGAGGCACAAAGAGCACGCCUAGCGGCCGGCCCAUUCUACGCGCUUGUCGCCUGUGUUACACGCAAGUGUGCCGCUUACGACGGAGUUGCGAUGGAGUGGAGCGCUGGACCUGUGCUCUUAAGAUGUUGGCACAAUGGCUUCAACCAGCCCGUCUUGAAACACGGACCAAGGAGUCUAACACGUAUGCGAGUAGUAAGGUGGCAAACCUUGGAUGCGAAAUGAAAGUGAAAUUGGUGGGAUCCCUCACGGGUGCACCAUCGACCGGCCAGGAACUACUGUGAUUGGUUUGAGUAAGAGCAUAUUUGUUGGGACCCGAAAGAUGGUGAACUAUGCCUGAAUAGGGUGAAGCCAGAGGAAACUCUGGUGGAGGCUCGUAGCGGUACUGACGUGCAAAUCGUUCGUCAAAUUUGGGUAUAGGGGCGAAAGACUAAUCGAACCAUCUAGUAGCUGGUUCCCUCCGAAGUUUCCCUCAGGAUAGCUGGAG
rnacentral:rRNA from 1 species